UAACCUUUAGAAAUGAGGGCUAAUACGCCGUAGUAUUAUCUUAGGGCAUCUUAAGAUAAUUAAAGAUUUAUCGGUAUAGGAUGGGCAUGCGUCCCAUUAGUUAGUUGGUAGGGUAACGGCUUACCAAGGCUAUGAUGGGUAGGGGAUCUGAGAGGAUUUACCCCCACACUGGUACUGAGACACGGACCAGACUCCUACGGGAGGCAGCAGUAAGGAAUAUUGGGCAAUGGGCGAGAGCCUGACCCAGCCAUGCCGCGUGCAGGAAGACGGCCCUAUGGGUUGUAAACUGCUUUUAUACGGGAAUAAAGUUGGGUAUGUAUACUCAUUUGCAAGUACUGUAUGAAUAAGCAUCGGCUAACUCCGUGCCAGCAGCCGCGGUAAUACGGAGGAUGCGAGCGUUAUCCGGAUUUAUUGGGUUUAAAGGGUGCGCAGGCGGAUAUAUAAGUCAGUGGUGAAAUUCCUGGGCUCAACCGAGGGACUGCCGUUGAUACUGUAUAUCUUGAGUGUAGUGGGCGUUGGCGGAAUGUGUCAUGUAGCGGUGAAAUGCAUAGAGAUGACACAGAACACCGAUAGCGAAGGCAGCUGACGAUACUUACACUGACGCUCAUGCACGAGAGCGUGGGGAUCAAACAGGAUUAGAUACCCU
rnacentral:rRNA from 1 species